rnacentral:lncRNA from 1 species
AGUUCCCGUCAUGGCGCAGUGGUUAACGAAUCCGACUAGGAACCAUGAGGUUGCGGGUUUGAUCCCUGCCCUUGCUCAGUGAGUUAACGAUCCGGCGUUGCUGUGAGCUGUGGUGUAGGUUGCAGAUGCGGCUCAGAUCCCAUGUUGCUGUGGCUGUGGUGUAGGCAGGUGGCUACAGCUCCAAUUUGACCCCUAGCCUGGGAACCUCCAUAUGCCGUGGGAGCGGCCCAAGAAAUGGCAAAAAGGACAAAAAAAAAAAAAAAAGAAAAGAAAAAUACACAUGCACCUUUUUGUUUAGUGCAACAGUAUUCACAAUAGCCAAGACAUGGAAACAACUUAAAUGUCCAUCACCAGAUGAAUGGAUUAAAAAGAUGUGGUACAUAUAGACAAUGGAAUACUACUCAGCCAAAAAAGGAACAAAAUAAUGCUAUUUGCAGCAACAUGGAUGGAACUAGAGAGUCUUAUACUAAGUGAAGUACAUCAGAAGGAGAAACACAAAUACCAUAUCAUAUCACUUAUGUCUGGAAUCUAAUAUAUGGCACAAAAUACAGAAAAGAAACAAUUCAUGAACAUGGAGAACAGACUUUUGGUUGCCAAGGAGGAGGUAGUGGGAUAGACUGGGAAUUUGAGAUUAGUGAAUGCAAACUAUUGCAUUUGGAGUGGAUAAGCAAUGAGAUCCUGCUGUAUAGCACAGGGAACUAUAUCUAAUCACUUGUGAUGGGACAUGAUGGAGGAUAAAGUAAAGGAAAAAAUGUGUGUGUGUGUGUAUAUAUAUAUGAAUGACUGGGUCAGUUUGCUGUACAGCAGAAAUUGACAGAACAUUGUAAAUCAGCUAUAAUAAAAAAAAUUUUAGGGUGUUCCCACUGUGGCCCAGUGAUAAUGAACCUGACUGCAAUGCCAGAUCCUUAACCCACUCAGAGAGGCCAGGGAUGGAACCCACAUCCUCAUGUCUAUUCACUGGGUUCUUAACCCACUGAGUCACAUUGGGAACUCCCCUGGUAAACAUAUUUUAGAUUAAAUGAUAGCAGCUAUCUUUGUUAAAAACUAGGAUUAUAUUUUCUGCUCUACAUUUUAGGGUUAGUUGCCAAUAUAAAAUCUCAAUAAAAUUUAUCAUUAUUAUAUAAUACACAAUAAUCAGAUUGUAUAUUCCUUCAAGACAUGAUUUGUGAAGUCCUCAUCGAUCAUUAAGUAUCAUCUUUAUACAACUGUAAAAAUUGUAAACUUCUGUGAUGCAAACCUAAAUUGCACGAACAAAAUGCUACAACUCAUCAAAUACUAGUACCUCCUUCUUCAACUGUAUAUUAGAUUGUCAUCUCUAAAUUAUCCUUUUCAUUUUGGCUAAUGUGAUUAGAAUAGAUAAUAGAAAAUAGGGAUAACAGGUAUUUGAAAUUCACAAAUAAACCAAAGCUCCCUUGAGUAAGUAGUUUCUGCCUUUUCUCACCAGAUCCUUAGUCUAGUUAUGCCCUUUCACUGUCCUCUUCAUCUUCUAGUGGAAUUCCUAGUAAGCAGUGGAAAUACAUAGAGAGAGACUAAAACUAUAGAGAAGGGAGCUUGGUGAGUCCAAAUAGCCACAAAACUGAAGGAUUUCUGGGACAUGUAGGAAUUUGGCUGUACUAUUAUCAAGAGGAUAUUUUUAUGAAUGUUAAUUAUUUAUGACCAUUUAUAAUCUUUGUGUUUAUUAGUUGAGGUAUUUGGAGAAUAAAAUUAUAUAGCAGCUAAUAAAAUAACAUUUUUAAGCUCCCAGCUUAAACACAGUCAUCAUUUCAAAAGACUCUCUGAAAUGUAUUCUAAAUCCUACUGGGGAACUAAAAGGCUCUCCCAGGGUUUAUAGUCACUUGAACAUCAACUUUAUUCUCGAGUUUCAGGCUUGGUUUAGUCACUGUUGAUUUGUGUACUGGUAAUGACCAGGAAUAUUCUAGAAGUACACAGUUUGGCUCCUCACUUUAUAAUCUGAAGAGACCAUCACUGAUGUUUUAUAAAACGUUUGAGCAACAGAAAAGGAUAAUUUGCAGUUCACUUCAACGCGUCUUUUUUCUUCAACCUAAUAUGGAUAUAAAAUGUAUCUGGCAUUAGUGUUUCCUAGUAUUGCCGCAGCUUGCCAGAAUAUUUGGAUCUUUGCACAAUGAAUCCUUUAUUACAGUAAAUAUAAAAAGACAUAAGAUUCAAAACAGCUCAUCACAUUUCUUCUAAUGUUCCUUGUCCUCAAGAACAUAUUUUAAUAUAUACUAAGUAUUUGAAUUGAUUUUCACAUUUGGGGAGGUUUUAAACUGGAUGUUUUAAUUAUGAUCCCUUUCACACUGGAUGAAAACUCAGUCUUCUGAGGUUGUCAAGCUUAUUUACUACGUGGCUUUUUGACAUAAUGUAGGAGUUAUCUUAGACAUAGAGGUUGUCAUGAAACCAGGCCCUUGCCAAUAGAUUCUGAUUCUGCAAGAUCUUAGAAGAUUUUUCACAUUAUGUGAAGGACCAGUUAAAUGAAUGGUGUGAUUUUAGAUGUGUUUACUACCCUCAAUAUUGAACACUUAGAGGACAUCCUGGAUAUACCCACUAGUAAAGAGCACUGUUAAUAAGGUUUGCAUGUGGGUUUUUUUGAGCCUGUUCAGAAAACUGGCAAAGGUUGAGAGUGUUAUUAAUCCCACUCUGCAAUGUGGGCAGGUAAUUAAGAAUUUCUGUUGACUUUGGGAAAAGGAAAAUGAUUUUAAGCUUUAUUAAAAGGAUACUAACUUUAGGGAUACAGCAGACCGUCUCCAUUCUAGCCAUCUCAGCUCAUAAAAUAAUCUAUAUCAUAUCUCUAUAGGCAGAAGGUAAAGAAUAGACCUCAGUAUGGGGAGGGAUGAAGAGCUGUGAGACAAGAGGACUUUUUUAAGCUAUUGGGGAAGGGUUUUAACUCCCACCUCAUGACUUCCUUAGAUACCUGGGUUGCGAAGGCUAUGCAAGUAACCCAGGUUCCCAGAGAAUCAGAGAGGUGGCCAAAAUCAUUUGGGUGAAUGAAUGUAUCUUUCAAUGUCUCACAGAUCCUAAGUUUUGCCUGGUCCAGAGUGAUGUCAAGUGGUCCUCAGUGUGGUCAGUCCUCAGUGAGUGGGUUAAGAACCCAAUGGGUAUCUUAAAAAAGAAGAAGAAAGGGAUCUGAAACC